AGAACGAACGCUGGCGGCAGGCCUCAAACAUGCAAGUCUAGGGGGCGUAGCAAUACGUCACCGGCGGACGGGUGCGUAACACGUGGGAAUGUACUUACUGGUUCGGAACAACUCAGGGAAACUUGAGCUAAUACCGAAUGUGCCCGAAAGGGGAAAGAUUUAUCGCCAGUAAAUCAGCCCGCGUCCGAUUAGCUAGUUGGCGGGGUAAAGGCCCACCAAGGCGACGAUCGGUAGCUGUUCUGAGAGGAAGAUCAGCCACACUGGGACUGAGACACGGCCCAGACUCCUACGGGAGGCAGCAGUUGGGAAUCUUGCGCAAUGGGCGAAAGCCUGACGCAGCCAUGCCGCGUGAAUGAUGAAGGUCUUAGGAUUGUAAAAUUCUUUCAGCGGGAAGAUAAUGACUGUACCGCAGAAGAGCUCCGGCUAACUUCGUGCCAGCAGCCGC
rnacentral:rRNA from 1 species